rnacentral:rRNA from 1 species
UCCGAAGUUUCUCUCAGGAUAGCGGCCCGACGUGAUGUUGUCAUGUGCGGUAAAGCGAAUGAUUAGCGCAUUCGGGGGCUCUUAGCCUUUGGGCGAUUCUCAAACUUUAAAUGCGCAUGAUGAUGUUGCUGUUUAUUUAAGCAGUUUCGUUAGAAACGUCGGGUUCGUGGGCCACUUUUGGUAAGCAGAACUGGCGAUACGGGAUGAACCGUAAGUAUGGUUAAGGCGCCAAAUUGAACGCUUAUAGAUCCCAAAAAAGGUGUUGAUUCAUCGAGACAGCAGGACGGUGGCCAUGGAAGUCGGAAUCCGCUAAGGAGUGUGUAACAACUCACCUGCCGAAUGAAUUAGCCCUGAAAAUGGAUGGCGCUUAAGCGGUCAGCCGACACCAUACCGUUAUACCAAAUAGUGGUGUAUAAUGAGUAGGAGGGCGUGGCGGUCGUAUCGAAGCGUACGGGCAACCGUGCGUGGAACGGCCGCUAGUGCAGAUCUUGGUGGUAGUAGCAAAUAUUCAAGUGAGAUCCUUGAAGGGCGAAGCGGGGAAGGGUUCCACGCGAACAUUGAUUGAGCGUGGGUGAGUCGUUCCUAAGCCGAGUGGUGAUUGCUAAUUAACGGCGAAAGGGAAGCAGGUUGACAUUCCUGCACACGGAUGUGGAAGCGGCGACGCCCCAUUUGGGGAGGUUACGUUGGCGGUGGCUCUGGGCAGAGUUGUCUUUUCUGUUUAACCGUCCUGCGCGCUGUGUGGAAUCCGCUUGUCGGGAGAAACACGCGUGCACGGGCAUAGCGCCGGGGCUUUGCCGGCGUCCAGCUCGCCACCGACGACCCUUGAAACACCUCCUGCUGGGCAAAGCACCUAUGUGUUUUGUUGGGAAAUCCACGCCGUAACGUACCCAUAACCGCAUCAGGUCCCCAAGGUGAACAGCCUCUGCUCAAUAUGAUCAAUGCAGGUAAGGGAAGUCGGCAAAUUAGACCCGUAACUUUGGGAAAAGGGUUGGCUCUAGUGCUGCGUGGGAGUGGUUGUCCCGUGUUGGCUGCGUGGAUCUGGCGGAUUGCGGUGGGAUGGCAGGGUAAUUCCAGCUAUCUUACUGCGUCUGUUUGGAUCUUCGUGUCGCGCUGGAUGACGCCCACGGCAUGCAGCAAACUAGAACUGCAACGGGCNAAGGGAAUCCGACU